ACACACCACACGAGACCAAUAGUGACGAAAUGGAUGAGUGAACAAGAUGGGCCUUAAGCCCAAUCCCACUUAAGUGCCCACAAAGAAAGCAUGGAAUUUGAAAGGGGCAGCUGUACAGCUGCUCCAACCGUGUGGCUUUGCAAGCCUUCGGUAUUCCUCAUGCAGCCAUCUGUCUUGGUAAUGAGAAUAUUCAUGGCCUUUGAAAAACUACCCAACCGUCAUUUGUAUUAAUUGGUACAUAAAUGAUUAUUAACUCUAAUUAACAGCACUACAAUGUCUCUUUAAACUCCAAUAACCCCCUUUCUCUAUGCACUUUUCACUAUUGCCACACAGUAUAUCAACGAAAGAAAGAUCCACACGACCGAACUUGAUGAACAAUAGAUGAAGUUCAUCAGUUUCGAUUUUUCAAAAAUUUAGAGAAAAAACGAAAUAACCAUUUUCCAAAACAAAUUCCACAGCCCUAACCUAAAACGCUUCGGAAUAUCAAACAAAUCAGAACCCUGUUUCAUGGCUUUUCUAGAAACAAAAUCCAUUUGCAAUCCCCAUUUAAACGUUAGCCAUGGCAAGAAAAUACCGUAUACAAUAUUAACAAUCAACAACCAUCAAUUAAUUUGACGUACACGGUUCAAUACGCAUAUGAAGGUUUUGAUCCCAAAAAGCUUUACGCAAAGAGAAACAGAUCUCAACGGUCACGACUCCGUCGAAAUUCCGGUGACCAAGAGUAGUACCUCAGUGGUUUAGCACAGUCUACUCAAAAUUCUGAUGAUGAACUUUAAGUAUACUUUGGAUGCUUUGAGCUUUGGUGAUUGAGUUUGGGUGAAAUCUUAGCAGAGUAACGGUGCUUUCUCCUCCUCCUUUUCAGUGAUUGCGUGCCUCUAUAUAUAGAGCGAAGGUGAGUAACUCUUCAAUCGUGAGCUGGCAAAUCCUAGCGGAUCUUUCCGUUAGAGAAUUGAUCCUAUCCAGAUUUUGUGGUCCCUUCAUACCAGGUGGUAUCAAAUUCAUUCUUCUCUUUUUUUUUUGCGUGGUCAUUCCUUCAAAUCUCUCUCUUUGAAGAAUUUUUACUGUUGUAACAGGUAUUCGUGUGCUGGUGAGUAAAUCCGUGUUUUUACCAUUUCUUCAAAAACACGCUUUAACGUUUCAAAUUUGUUUUGACUUGACGUGAACAUUUGCAACAUGAACCUUGGCUGAAACUCCAACUCUUGAUGCGUAUUGCCGGUAUUUACGUUGUUUUUUAGUUUUGGGAUGCUAUUGUGAAGGUCACAAGAUGCUCCUUGAUGCUUGCAAAGUGGGCUUUGUGGUUAUGUUGGAUUUGGUGGUGCUGCUAUGUUAACUACCAUGCCAAUGAAAACAAUAUGGAAUAUGAUGCGAGUGAGGUACAUGGUCGGAUUGUGAUGUAGCAAUGCUUGUCGGAGUGAAACGCAGGUUUACUUUUGCUCGGUCAAAGUAGAGUGCAUCAUGUUUUUCACCACGGUGGAUGGACUGUCAUAGCGCGCGGCUUUUUGCGACACGGUUCCAUCACUUGCAGACACUUAUUUAGGAACGCCAUGAUAUUGUACACAAUCAAUGUACAUGAUUUAGGGUGCUGUUAUGUUAACACAAGUUGGCGGGUAACUUCAAGUUCCAUUAUUUCACUUCUGUUUCGAAAGGAUGUGGUUUAUGGACACUGAUGAGUGCUUACUCAGAAGCAAAACUUGAUUAAUGGAGAGUGUGUACCAACACAAGUGUGGCUGAUUGGUGUUAGCCACAUAGCUGGAUUUUGAGGCCUUGCUGAUUUUGCAUUUCUCGUUAUGCUUCUGUUGUCAUUUUGAUUCUUUUUUUUGACAUGUUUUCUUUCGUGGAAUGCAAGUUUUGGAUAUUCGUAUGAUUACUACGUAUGCAUUUUGACCAUUGCGACAACCAGUUGACGUUGGGACAUUGCUUGGUGUCAUGAGGCAUUUUUAUUAUUGCACUUGUGCUGGCUGGAUGUAUGGAAAACGUUCCAGUAUGCUGUCAUGGAUACCGAGGUAAAUGGCCGAUGAAGAGUGUGCUCCAACUUGGUUGUAAUCCAAUGGUGAUGUCAUGGUCUUUGGAUGCCGAUAUCCGAACCCAGCAGGUGUCAAUUGCGCAGUCCAAGCUCCUGAUUAUGCUGCCUUGACAUAUGUUGCGAAAGGGGGCCGUGGCUUUUCACAUUAACAACUUCAAAUUUGUUGGUUGUUUUGCUCAUGUUGAACAUGUUGGGUUUGGCUUCCAUAGCGCUUGCUGCAAUGUUAUGGUCGAUGGAUUCUUGACAAAGCCGGAAGUCUUGCAAUUGUGUUGAAUGGCCUUUGGAUUUUUUAGAAGAACCAGAACCUCUGCCGAAAGUUAUCACAGUACAUCAUCACUUCAAACUCCAUACGUAAUAGGCCCUCAUUAAAUCAAAGUGAUUAGCUUUUAUUUGUCUGAGCUCUAAACUUUUGUAUUUCUUUUGAGCUUAUUCCCAAACUAUCAUAACUGGAUUAGAAACUUGAAUGUUACAUGUAACUUUUUUAUUGCCUGUUUAAA